rnacentral:ncRNA from 2 species
CUUCCGAGGAGCGCUGCAAGGUAGACGGCCGGAUGGCCGCGACCCUAGGCUCGGAACCUGAUAGACAACUGCGCUCACCCACC